AUCAAACUUGGGUCCUUGAGCUUGCGAGGCAGGAGCAGAACCACUGAGCUAAAUCCCCAGCUCAAAUUCUUAAUUCAAGAGUAUUUGCACUGUGGCUCCUUGGGAGAACAGAAUUCAGGAGUGAAGAAAUUGAUGUGUGUGGAAAUGGAGAGAGACACUGAUGAAGCAAGGUACACCUCUUAUGUAAAUAUAUAAAUAAUUUUGGGUAUUGAAAUGUACAGCCAAUACACUUCUGUGCAGUGUGGGUUUAGACAUUAUUCCAGUAACACAUUUACUAAAGAAAACCUCGUGUUUAGCAGCUGAAGUUACACUGCUUUUCCCUUUAUGGGCAGCUCGCUCUUCUGCCCUCACAAGGCUGAGAAGGGCUUGCUCACUUGGGUCAAGUAAUGGAUACUUGUAGUGGUGUGUAGGUUCAGGGAUUUCUAAGUUGGGGGUGGGUGGCUGAAGACAGGAGUGUGGGUGAAAGGAAGGGACUGAUUCUCUUGGGGGACCCAGGCAGACCUUUUCUCCAGAGCCGGGGGAUUUGCUAGAAGGACCGUUACCAAGCCCCUCUACCUCAGGGCCUUCUGCAUUUGAACACUUGUUUCCUGUGCUAUUCUGCUGUAAGUCUGAUAUAAUGACAGCAAGGUUAUUAAAGAUGUUCCUGGAUUUUCUUCAAAUGGUUAGUCAGGGUCUAUGGGUGCCUUUUAACCAUGCAGCUGUCUUUUCACCUCUCUGUGUCCCUCAUGCUUAUGCCAAGGACUGCAGGGCCUGGGCUCAACUGACCCGGAGCAGAACUUGUCCUUCAGUCCUUUCCUGCCUUGCCAGCUUCCUCACAAGACCAGAAAUCUGGUGCAGAGCCUCUGCUUGGGUGAACUACAUGUGUUAGCUCUUCACCAUCCUAUGCCGCUGUUCAGAUCCCGAGAUGUCUGCCCGGACUGAGAAGUUUCUGGCUUCUGAGGUUGCCCUUUGCAGCCUUGCUUAGUGCCAGGCUGUGCUCUCCUCUACAGAGCCAGCAGGCAAAUCCAGCGUCACUUGCUGCCAGUUCCCAUAAGGGGUUUGUUUGAGAAGUGUUAGGCAGAAAUCCUUCUGCACAACACUAGAAACUAGGAGCCACACUGAGAACACUUUUUGUCACUCUUGAAAUAUUUGCAGAAAGGCCACUUGCUUUUGUUGGAAAUAAGUGGGGGAAACAUCCCUGAUGGGCCUGUGAGCUCACCAAGGGCAGGCAUGAUGUUUAUCGCUGGGCUGGGAACCAGAAGUGUGGGUCCCAGGUCCCUGUAAGCCUGACGGCCACACUUCAAACCAUGUGCUCACCUGAACACUUGCCAACCUGUGGUGCAGGGUCUCCCGCACAUCCCUGAGUUAGAGACGACUCCUAGAGGCAAGAAUCCGUGUGGGAACUGGCAGCUGGGAUUUGUCAGUAUCUGUGUUGACUAUGACAAAGGCCUGCUAAAGUGGAUGUUUUGUUUUUCUUUUUCUUUUUUUGGCACCAGGGAUCGGAACCAGAACUUUACACUUGCCAGGCAGGCGUGGUGCCACUGAGCUAAAUCCCUGGCCUGAUGUUUUCAAUUUUGUAAGGCUCAGCAGCUGCUAAUACUCAGCCUUUGGGGCAAUGGCCAGUUGUUGCCUGGCAUAGGACUCUUUCUCCAGGAGUCAAAAAUAGUAAGGCUUAUCUCCUACCAGUCUGAAAAGUAUACACCAGAUCAUUGCUUAGCAUCAGCUUUGGCUUUGAACACGGAGCCUUCCUUAUGCCUGGUGUGGACCCAUUCCAACGUCUGUGUCCCUCUGGGGCCUGGGAGUCUUCAGUUAAUUACAAAUGCAGUGAGUUGGAAGCCAUCUGCUUUCCAUGCCCACCAUCCAUUCUGGGACCUCUUCUUCCGUCUGGCUAGGAAGGGCAGCGUACUUCAUUGCCAUAUGGACAGAAGUGUUUUAGCCUAGGAAUUACAUCUGUGACGGCAUUAAAAACCAGAUGAAAAUCAAGAUGGGAAAUUUAAAAGGAGCACCCAGGUACAGAUGGUACCAGAUGCUACAUGAGGAUUCAUUUUUCGUGUAACUACCUGUAGCAUUUUAGCUAGAAGAUAAAAGGUAAAUUAACCCAUAGGUAAGUCAUGUUUAUUUGCAUGCCAGUGGCCAGGAGGGUAAAUUUGCUGUUUGUCUUGAUACAGUGGAAGCCCAACACAAUAGAAAGUGAAGUUCUUCACUUUUCCACUGAGGCCUUCAGGGAAGUUUUUGUAAAGGGUGAUAAUGAAUUAACCUUUCUGUAGAAGGAAUUAACCUCCAAGAAGAGGCAGGGAGGUUAGGAACUGCGUAUUUCUCUUUGUACAGCUGAGGGAUUGGACCAAGAUGCUUUUUCCUGGGCCAGAGGUGGGAGUGGGUGGAUGAAAACAGUGACCUUGUCCUUAGAGUGGGAAGAGUUUGAAAAUGAGAAGGGGGAGGAAUAUGGAGACUGAGAAUCCCUCCACAGGGUUGGGUGUCCACUAGGUUCCAGGCUGGUGAGCUCAGAAUCCCAGAUGUCUGGGCUUCCUUUCCCCUCCCUAUUCCUCACAGUUACACCCUUGGUGAGAAUCCUGAGACCCACAGGCUCACGGAGGCAGGUCCAGUCCCAUCCCUUCCCAUUUCAGGAAAACCCUUUUCUGAUUCAGGUAGGGGGAGGGGAGGAGCAAAGGGCUCCUUUUACUCCCAAGUCAUGGACUUUUCAUACCCCAUUUUUAUUGCUAAUAUACCUCUGUUCCCAGGAGCUACUAGAGCCCCGUGUGGUGGGAAAAGGCUGUGAAUUAAGUUUAUGUUUUGUUUUGUUUUGUUUUGUUUUUAGAAGAAAUGGAAGUUUUAUAUUUAUAUCAAUAUUGCUAUGUGAUGAACUGAGUGUAGAGAUGUUAAAGUUGAAGGAAAUUUCAUAACUAUAAUCCUAGAAGAAAUGGGCAGUUUUGUAAUUUGGUAGUGGCUGAGACCCUUAUAAGCUUUGCGAUGUAAAUGUUUUAGAGUGAAUAAGGACAUUGAACUGUGUGAUCUUUGCAGCACUCUAGGAGAUGAACAUGACCGUCCCAGUAAAGAGGACACAUGGCAAAUACCCAGCCUUAAGGAAACGUGUAGGACAGAAGAGGGUACAUUAUCAGGCUUUCAGUCAACUGGAGAGAGGUGGGAGUCGGAGGUCAUCUUAUAACUGGCACUUUAAUUCAUUUUGGGAAUUGGAAUUUAGAAGCAAGAAAAGCUACAACUGUGGAAAGGAAAGAGGAAUUUUCUAGUACUCUGUAGAAACACGAAGAUGGCAGAGCUUUUAAUACCACCUCGAAGCAUCCAGUGCUGAAGAGGAAAAAGCACAUUUGGGAACCAGAGACUAAAUGCCGUAGACUACAAAACUACAACAAAGUCUUUCCCUCUUAUGGGGGCAAAUAAAUGGCCAGAGAGUUUGUGGAGACGGGGGUUCUGGCGGCCAUUUUCCCUGCAGUGAGUCCCGCCCAGUUUCAUGACGGACUGCAGUGGCUGUAGAGAACACUACAGGGAGUUAAGAUGGAAUGUCUUCCACGUGUACCUCAUUCUUAGGCUAAUUC